AUUGAACGCUGGCGGCAUGCCUUACACAUGCAAGUCGAACGGUAACAGGUCUUCGGAUGCUGACGAGUGGCGAACGGGUGAGUAAUACAUCGGAACGUGCCCGAUCGUGGGGGAUAACGGAGCGAAAGCUUUGCUAAUACCGCAUACGAUCUACGGAUGAAAGCAGGGGACCGCAAGGCCUUGCGCGGACGGAGCGGCCGAUGGCAGAUUAGGUAGUUGGUGGGAUAAAAGCUUACCAAGCCGACGAUCUGUAGCUGGUCUGAGAGGACGACCAGCCACACUGGGACUGAGACACGGCCCAGACUCCUACGGGAGGCAGCAGUGGGGAAUUUUGGACAAUGGGCGAAAGCCUGAUCCAGCCAUGCCGCGUGCAGGAUGAAGGCCUUCGGGUUGUAAACUGCUUUUGUACGGAACGAAAAGACUUCUUCUAAUAAAGGGGGUCCAUGACGGUACCGUAAGAAUAAGCACCGGCUAACUACGUGCCAGCAGCCGCGGUAAUACGUAGGGUGCAAGCGUUAAUCGGAAUUACUGGGCGUAAAGCGUGCGCAGGCGGUUAUAUAAGACAGAUGUGAAAUCCCCGGGCUCAACCUGGGAACUGCAUUUGUGACUGUAUAGCUAGAGUACGGCAGAGGGGGAUGGAAUUCCGCGUGUAGCAGUGAAAUGCGUAGAUAUGCGGAGGAACACCGAUGGCGAAGGCAAUCCCCUGGGCCUGUACUGACGCUCAUGCACGAAAGCGUGGGGAGCAAACA
rnacentral:rRNA from 1 species